rnacentral:tRNA from 1 species
GGGUCUGUAGCUCAGUCCGGUUAGAGCGCACCCCUGAUAAGGGUGAGGUCGAUAGUUCGAUUCUAUCCAGACCCACCA